UGUUUGCUGGCUCUAACAAUCAAAGACACAUUUAUUCAACUGCUAAUGAUUAUGUUGUAUUGUUGUUAUACGUAACAAAUCUUUUUAAUUCAAACAUUGAAGUGUGGGUUUGUUUUUUUAAAAUGUUGAAGAGCUAGUGGGGUGUGUUGGAUAGAUUGUCAGACUAGGACUCCGGAAACUCGAACUCCAAUUCCUGCUCUAGGAGAAAAACAUCACCAGGCAAUUGCAAUGUAAAAUACUCCUUAAAUAUCUCAUUCACCCAUAAACAACCUGAAGGAACUUAAAUCAAUUUGAGAGCCAUCUCAGACCAGAAACACAAGAAAGAAGACAGGAGGUGUAAUCGGUUUAAACGGCUUUGAAGACCCAAAGGCCAUGCACAAGAUCAAACACCGCAUAGGCAUAGCCUUGUCAAAAUAUCAGGGGCUCCUGUGCAACUGAGCCAGUAGUCAACCCCCUCAACCUCACCAGACAAUGACUUACUUCAGGAUGUGCUACUGGUAUAUAUGCUGCCACUGCUGCCUGUGUCAUGGUCUCACAUCCACCUUUGCACUGAUGACAGGAAGCUGCCUGUUGCCACCAAUCAGCUGAUCCACUAGUCAGCUGAAUGUCAGGAUCAUU
rnacentral:lncRNA from 1 species